UUUAACUGAAGAGUUUGAUCAUGGCUCAGAUUGAACGCUGGCGGCAGGCUUAACACAUGCAAGUCGAGCGGGGGAAGGUAGCUUGCUACCGGACCUAGCGGCGGACGGGUGAGUAAUGCUUAGGAAUCUGCCUAUUAGUGGGGGACAACAUCUCGAAAGGGAUGCUAAUACCGCAUACGUCCUACGGGAGAAAGCAGGGGAUCUUCGGACCUUGCGCUAAUAGAUGAGCCUAAGUCGGAUUAGCUAGUUGGUGGGGUAAAGGCCUACCAAGGCGACGAUCUGUAGCGGGUCUGAGAGGAUGAUCCGCCACACUGGGACUGAGACACGGCCCAGACUCCUACGGGAGGCAGCAGUGGGGAAUAUUGGACAAUGGGGGGAACCCUGAUCCAGCCAUGCCGCGUGUGUGAAGAAGGCCUUAUGGUUGUAAAG
rnacentral:rRNA from 1 species